rnacentral:snoRNA from 2 species
GUCCUCUCAGGGUGGCACCUGGAGAGUUCCCAGUCCUCUACCAGUCUCGACUAUGGAAGGGAGAGUGAAGCAGAGGCCCGUCCUUUCCAUUCCUAGCUUGGGCAGUGGCUAGCGAGUGGAAGACCGUCUGCUACAAGU